ACUGUUCGGAUAGAUGAUAUGACUUCAUCAGCAACUGAGCCAGCUUUGGCAUAGGCCCUUAAUUCAUAGUCGGUAAAUCUGGACACACUCUGAAAUCCAAAAGAAGAAAAUAAAAUGUGAAGACCAGAUAAUUAGAGGGAAGCAUCUAAACUUGGGAGACCACGGAAACCAUAUGUACACUAGACAGUGGUGCAAAGGUUUUCCCAUGGAAAGAAGUGAGAAGACAUUCUUACCAGACCAAUGAUGGCUGCUCCAAUCCCAAUGAGAGGGCUGACAGAGAUAAUAACCA